rnacentral:rRNA from 2 species
AACAGCUCAAAUUUGAAAUCUGGCUCUUUCAGAGUCCGAGUUGUAAUUUGCAGAGGGCGCUUUGGCGUUGGCAGCGGUCCAAGUUCUUUGGAACAGGACGUCACAGAGGGUGAGAAUCCCGUACGUGGUCGCUAGCCUUCGCCGUGUAAAGCCCCUUCGACGAGUCGAGUUGUUUGGGAAUGCAGCUCUAAAUGGGAGGUAAAUUUCUUCUAAAGCUAAAUACUGGCCAGAGACCGAUAGCGCACAAGUAGAGUGAUCGAAAGAUGAAAAGCACUUUGGAAAGAGAGUCAAAUAGCACGUGAAAUUGUUGAAAGGGAAGCGCUUGCAGCCAGACUUGCCUGUAGUUGCUUAUCUGGACUUUUGUCCGGUGCACUCUUCUGCGGGCAGGCCAGCAUCAGUUUGGGCGGUUGGAUAAAGGUCUCUGUCAUGUACCUCCUUUCGGGGAGGCCUUAUAGGGGAGACGACAUGCAACCAGCCUGGACUGAGGUCCGCGCAUCUGCUAGGAUGCUGGCGUAAUGGCUGUAAGCGGCCCGUCUUGAAACACGGACCAAGGAGUCUAACAUCUAUGCGAGUGUUUGGGUGUCAAGCCCAGACGCGUAAUGAAAGUGAACGGAGGUGGGAACCUUUUAGGUGCACCAUCGACCGAUCCUGAUGUCUUCGGAAGGAUUUGAGUAAGAGCAUGGCUGUUGGGACCCGAAAGAUGGUGAACUAUGCUUGAAUAGGGUGAAGCCAGAGGAAACUCUGGUGGAGGCUCGCAGCGGUUCUGACGUGCAAAUCGAUCGUCAAAUUUGGGCAUAGGGGCGAAAGACUAAUCGAACUAUCUAGUAGCUGGUUCCUGCCGAAGUUUCCCUCAGGAUAGCAGUAACGUAUUCAGUUUUAUGAGGUAAAGCGAAUGAUUAGAGGCCUGGGGGUUGAAACAACCUUCACCUAUUCUCAAACUUUAAAUAUGUAAGAAGUCCUUGUUACUUGAUUGAACGUGGACACUUGAAUGUACCGUUACUAGUGGGCCAUUUUUGGUAAGCAGAACUGGCGAUGCGGGAUGAACCGAACGCGGGGUUAAGGUGCCAGAAUAUACGCUCAUCAGACACCACAAAAGGUGUUAGUUCAUCUAGACAGCAGGACGGUGGCCAUGGAAGUCGGAAUCCGCUAAGGAGUGUGUAACAACUCACCUGCCGAAUGAACUAGCCCUGAAAAUGGAUGGCGCUCAAGCGUAUUACCCAUACCCCGCCGCC